rnacentral:lncRNA from 1 species
UCUUCUCAUCGUCGAUCUUGUUCGCCACGGAAAUUCACUUUCCACUCGUUCUUCUCCACAACUAAGGCUACCCCAAGGUUUGCUCUGACCUACUGAAUCUUCCUAAUACCGGCGACCCCCUUUGCUGGAACAUUGUUGUUAUCUUCCUAUUCUUUGUUUUCCUCGACUAGGGACUUAAUUGCUUUGAUUUAGAAAGUUCUAGGGUGUUCUUUGUAAAAUGUCCAAAAUCUUCUUUAUUUCAAAUUAGUGAACUUCUACAUUUCAUAGAAUUUCGUAAGAAGUUCAUAAAAAUACAAAAUCAGUUUUGUUUGAAUCCUCAGGUCAAAAUCUAAAAGUUUUAUGUUGUGCUCUUGAAUUAAAAGUCUUUGAAUUAUGGUCUAGGUUAAAUAUUAGGG